CUGCUCAUUUAGGCAGCACAUAUACUAAAAUUGCAAUGACACAGAGAUUAGCAUGGCUCUGAGCAAGGAUGACAUGCAAAUUCGUGAAGCUUUCCAUGUUUUU
rnacentral:snRNA from 1 species